UCUCAGAAAGCCGGUCGUAGUCCGGAUUGUUCUCUGCAACUCGAGAGCAUGAAGUCGGAAUCGCUAGUAAUCGCGGAUCAGCAUGUCGCGGUGAAUACGUUCCCGGGUCU
rnacentral:rRNA from 1 species